rnacentral:rRNA from 1 species
UACGUAGGGUGCAAGCGUUGUCCGGAAUUAUUGGGCGUAAAGAGCUCGUAGGCGGUUUGUUGCGUCGGCUGUGAAAUCCCGAGGCUCAACCUCGGGUCUGCAGUCGAUACGAGCAAACUAGAGUGUUGCAGGGGAGACUGGAAUUCCUGGUGUAGCGGUGAAUGCGCAGAUAUCAGGAGGAACACCGGUGGCGAAGGCGGGUCUCUGGGCAACAACUGACGCUGAGGAGCGAAAGCAUGGGGAGCGAACAGG